rnacentral:rRNA from 1 species
AUGGAGAUUUUAACAUGUGAUAUUUCCUCAAGCAAACUAAGUUCUUUUGCAAUUUGCUGCUCAAGUUGUGGCUCUCCUGCAGGGCAAAUCUUCCCAACAAGAAGCAUAACAGAGGCCUCUCUUUCAAUGUCUGAAGAUUGGUUAUCUAAUAACUGGCCAUCAGAGGGAGAAAUUCAGCUCCAUAACCUCCAUAUAAUAGUAGACAUCGUCGACAUUGGCACCAUUGGGUUGUACGAUCUGAUUUCUAGAUUGGCCAUCAUCAAUGUUCGAUUGAACUAUGAGAAGCAACCUUGA